CCCAAUGUGAACCAUACCAAACUGUUGCCUCGGCGGGGUCACGCCCCGGGUGCGUCGCAGCCCCGGAACCAGGCGCCCGCCGGAGGGACCAACCAAACUCUUUUCUGUAGUCCCCUCGCGGACGUUAUUUCUUACAGCUCUGAGCAAAAAUUCAAAAUGAAUCAAAACUUUCAACAACGGAUCUCUUGGUUCUGGCAUCGAUGAAGAACGCAGCGAAAUGCGAUAAGUAAUGUGAAUUGCAGAAUUCAGUGAAUCAUCGAAUCUUUGAACGCACAUUGCGCCCGCCAGUAUUCUGGCGGGCAUGCCUGUCCGAGCGUCAUUUCAACCCUCGAACCCCUCCGGGGGGUCGGCGUUGGGGAUCGGGAACCCCUAAGACGGGAUCCCGGCCCCGAAAUACAGUGGCGGUCUCGCCGCAGCCUCUCCUGCGCAGUAGUUUGCACAACUCGCACCGGGAGCGCGGCGCGUCCACGUCCGUAAAACACCCAACUUCUGAAAUGUUGACCUCGGAUCAGGUAGGAAUACCCGCUGAACUUAAGCAUAUCAAUAAGCGGAGGA
rnacentral:misc_RNA from 1 species